rnacentral:rRNA from 1 species
UGGGGAAUUUUGGACAAUGGGGGCAACCCUGAUCCAGCGAUGCCGCGUGAGUGAAGAAGGCCUGCGGGUUGUAAAGCUCUUUCGGUGGGGAGGAAGGCUCCCAAAUGAAUAAUUUGGGGGAUUGACGUAACCCACAAAAGAAGCACCGGCUAACUCUGUGCCAGCAGCCGCGGUAAUACAGAGGGUGCGAGCGUUAAUCGGAAUUAUUGGGCGUAAAGGGCGUGUAGGUGGUUUUAUAAGUUUGAUGUGAAAGCCCCGGGCUUAACCUGGGAAUUGCGUUGAAGACUGUGAGACUAGAGUGGGACAGAGGGCAGUGGAAUUUCCGGUGUAGCGGUGAAAUGCGUAGAGAUCGGAAAGAACAUCCGUGGCGAAGGCGGCUGCCUGGGUCCCAACUGACACUGAGGCGCGAAAGCGUGGGGAGCGAACAGGAUUAGAUACCCCUGUAGUCC